GAGAAGGCAGCUCGUGGGUGAUCAGGGAAAGAAAGAAAGAAAGAAGAAGAAGAAGAAGAAGAAGAGAAACAAAAAAUUGGGGCUUUUGGGGUUCUUGCUUUAAUCUUUUCACUUAGGGUCAAAUUUUUCAAAGGAUAGCGUAUCGCUUGCUUAAAUGUUAAGAAUGGGCUGAGGCAGUGGAAAGUUUAGAAGACGUUGGGUAGAACUUUUGUUAGCAUACAUGUAGUUGUGUAUAAGCUACCUUGCAUCUAAUGAAAUGUGACUAUGAAUCUAAACUUGUGGAUUUUGUGUAAGUUAAUGGAUCCCUCAUGUAUAGGGUUUUGGAAUGUUAAAUUAAAUUCGUGUAAUGAUAUGAACUUAUGGUAAAUCGUUGUUUGUGGUGACUGCAUAGAAUUCCCCACUUGUGGAUUUACACUGUGGUUUUUAUUUUGAUGAGUUGAGUUCAGAUUGUAUGAAUUAUCGAGUGAUGUGUGCUAUGUUUAUAAAUUGCACAGGGUUAUGAAGUGGUAGAUUAUAGAAGUGAAAAUUUUGAUC